rnacentral:rRNA from 1 species
GACGAACGCUGGCGGCGUGCCUAAUACAUGCAAGUCGAGCGGACUUUCAAGAAGCUUGCUUUUUGAAAGUUAGCGGCGGACGGGUGAGUAACACGUGGGCAACCUGCCUGCAAGACGGGGAUAACUCCGGGAAACCGGGGCUAAUACCGGAUAAUAUCUUCCUUCGCAUGAAGGAAGGUUGAAAGGCGGCGCAAGCUGCCGCUUGCAGAUGGGCCCGCGGCGCAUUAGCUAGUUGGUGAGGUAACGGCUCACCAAGGCGACGAUGCGUAGCCGACCUGAGAGGGUGAUCGGCCACACUGGGACUGAGACACGGCCCAGACUCCUACGGGAGGCAGCAGUAGGGAAUCUUCCGCAAUGGACGAAAGUCUGACGGAGCAACGCCGCGUGAGCGAAGAAGGUCUUCGGAUCGUAAAGCUCUGUUGUCAGGGAAGAACAAGUACCGUCCGAACAGGGCGGUACCUUGACGGUACCUGACCAGAAAGCCACGGCUAACUACGUG